rnacentral:rRNA from 1 species
GAUGAACGCUGGCGGCGUGCCUAAUACAUGCAAGUCGAGCGAAUGGAUUAAGAGCUUGCUCUUAUGAAGUUAGCGGCGGACGGGUGAGUAACACGUGGGUAACCUGCCCAUAAGACUGGGAUAACUCCGGGAAAACGGGGCUAAUACCGGAUAACAUUUUGAACCGCAUGGUUCGAAAUUGAAAGGCGGCUUCGGCUGUCACUGAUGGAUGGACCCGCGUCGCAUUAGCCAGUUGGUGAGGUAACGGCUCACCAAGGCAACGAUGCGUAGCCGACCUGAGAGGGUGAUCGGCCACACUGGGCCUGAGACACGGCCCAGACUCCUACGGGAGGCAGCAGUAGGGAAUCUUCCGCAAUGGACGAAAGUCUGACGGAGCAACGCCGCGUGAGUGAUGAAGGCUUUCGGGUCGUAAAACUCUGUUGUUAGGGAAGAACAAGUGCUAGUUGAAUAAGCCGGCACCUUGACGGUACCUAACCAGAAAGCCACGGCUAACUACGUGCCAGCAGCCGCAGUAA